CCUUGUACACACCGCCCGUCACACCAUGGGAGUUGGGCAAACUUGAAGACGCCGAGUUAACCUUCGGGAGACAAGCGUCUAUGGUUUGACCGAUGACUGGGGUG
rnacentral:rRNA from 1 species